rnacentral:lncRNA from 1 species
CUAUAUAAGAAAGGGAAGAUCAUUUGCCACUCAAUUAUUCCACUUGGUGGUAAGGACCCCACCCCCUUCCAGAAUAAACCUAAACGGGGAAUUUCUAGUUAUCUUAUUCUGAUUCAAGGAUGAGAAAAACCAAGCUUAUUAAGUGGCACAGCAUGUUCCUUGAUGAGGGAUAGAGAAGGGAGCCCACUGUCUAGUUGGGACUGCCACCUCGGUGGGAUUGAGGAUGCAGAACAAUUGUUGCAUGGGGAACUUGAGUAGUAUCAUCAAAGACAGGGAGAACAGGAGAAUGUGGCAUUGUAUACCAACAAAACACCACAAUUAGGGGAAUCAGGGGAAACUUGAAAGAAAUGUCAAUCAAAGUGGGAGAAACUGACAUCUGGGUUAGGAAUGGAACAGAAGGUCUUGGUGGGAUGUAGGUCUAGGUUUCCCUGCCAAGAUAGGAAAGCUUUGACUCUCCCUAUAGCUUACACUUUUCUUUUAUAAAGAUGACCUUUAAUCACACCCACUGUUAGUACCACAUUCCCUGUUUCUUUAAGCAUCCUCAACUACUUCUGGGGACCCAGCAGAGGCUUUGGCAGUAACAAAGCCCCACCCAGCACUUGCUUUGGACAUAAUGAGCUAAGGCAUUCAAGUACCCACCUUUGCUCAUUAAUUUAUCAUCAUCAAAUUUUAUUUUGAAAAACCACUAUUUUCUACAGUGAGGUAAUGUGAUCAUUGUAGGAAAAAGAAGAAAUGGAUGAAAUAAAAAGUAAAUAAAUGCCAUCCGUAAUCCAGAAAGAAGUGUUAAAUAUUUAGCAAAAUAAAAUAAUACUGUGCAUAUUCUUUGUUUUGUAAUAUCUUGUUUUUUAAAUACAUUUUUUAUUAGUCUCUACAUGAAAAACCAAUUCUGUGAGGGACCAGAUUUAACUCAAGAGAUUACCCUUACACACACACACACACACACACACACACACGCGCGCGCGCACAGAGAGAGAGAGAGACCUUUUAAUGAAAGUAUUAAUUAUAUGGAAAGUACACAAAUCAGCAGUAUACAGCUUGAGGAGUUUUCACAAACAGAACACACUAUCUAUGCUGUCUCUUNNNNNNNNNNNNNNNNNNNNNNNNNNNNNNNNNNNNNNNNNNNNNNNNNNNNNNNNNNNNNNNNNNNNNNNNNNNNNNNNNNNNNNNNNNNNNNNNNNNNNNNNNNNNNNNNNNNNNNNNNNNNNNNNNNNNNNNNNNNNNNNNNNNNNNNNNNNNNNNNNNNNNNNNNNNNNNNNNNNNNNNNNNNNNNNNNNNNNNNNNNNNNNNNNNNNNNNNNNNNNNNNNNNNNNNNNNNNNNNNNNNNNNNNNNNNNNNNNNNNNNNNNNNNNNNNNNNNNNNNNNNNNNNNNNNNNNNNNNNNNNNNNNNNNNNNNNNNNNNNNNNNNNNNNNNNNNNNNNNNNNNNNNNNNNNNNNNNNNNNNNNNNNNNNNNNNNNNNNNNNNNNNNNNNNNNNNNNNNNNNNNNNNNNNNNNNNNNNNNNNNNNNNNNNNNNNNNNNNNNNNNNNNNNNNNNNNNNNNNNNNNNNNNNNNNNNNNNNNNNNNNNNNNNNNNNNNNNNNNNNNNNNNNNNNNNNNNNNNNNNNNNNNNNNNNNNNNNNNNNNNNNNNNNNNNNNNNNNNNNNNNNNNNNNNAAGAGACAGACCUUACCCCAUUCCCUCUUCCAAGGAGCCCAGUCCCUAGCUUCUGCCCUGCUUUGUUCCUCAUGCCUUGUUCUGGAGUCUUGUCUCCUAUUUCUGGAGAUAAUGUAAUCGGAACUAAAUCUUCCCAAGGAAGAUGUUCAGGGAACGCCCCUAGGAGAUGAACCCAGAUAGAUUCAUGCCAAUAAAAAUUUCAACGUGCAGCAGAAAUGAUCUGGUCUGGUGCCUUGCUGCCCACCAACAGGACAGCAGGCUCAGGCCAGAGCAAAGGCAAGAGUCAGGACACCAUGGGUGGGUCAGCCAGUCUGACUUCAGGGAAGUUCUGAGCCCAGCUGCGGAUGGAUGUGCUCUUCCAGCCUCCUUCCCACCUCGCCCAGGAAGAGAGAUCUGAGCCAAGAGCCACAUGGUUGUGACCUGUGAAAGAGUAGAGGCAAUGAAAAGUGUGGGAAGGUGGAGAGCAGAGGCAAUGAAAAGUGUGGGAAGGUGGAGAGCACUGAUCUGGUAGAGAGCUUGGUGGAAGGGACAAGGAAAACCAGAGGAAGGGACUGGCAGACCGGAGUGACAGUCAUGUUUGCUUUCUCUUAAUUAAUGUGGUUUCCUUACAAACCCCCUGCUGAUUCCCAGCUGGUUCACUCAACCAUAACAACACGUGGCCUGCCCUGCCUAGGCCAGGAACUGAGGCUGGACGCCUCCCAAGAAGGGUCUGGUUUCAUCUGCAGCGGCUAGCCCUGCUCCCCCUUACUGGCUUUAUGCAGAUGAGGGAAGGGACAGCACCUCAAGCUGUGGAGACAGCUGGGCUGGAGAAAAGGCCAGGGCCUGGCUGCUGCGGGUUCGCCUGGUUGCACGCUUUGGUUUCCCACGACCUUUCAUAAGGGGCAGUACUCUCCUAUUUGGGCUGUGGCCUGCCAAAAAGCUGAGUGGCGGGUGGGAGGAAACCUUGGACAAAAAGCCCUUGUUUGGUGGUGGCCUUCCUACAGGUGUGUCCUGCUGAUACCAUGUGCCUGGAAACAGUUGCGUCGAGGGUCUAGAGUUUUUGCUAAUUCAACAUUUUCCAUCCAGUUUUCAGUGUCGUUUCUCUUCUUUGCCAGGAUUCUUACUCUGUCCAAAUUUCGUCAUUCAUUUGUUCACUGGUUCAUUUUACCAAUAGGUUAUCAAUUGAGCAGGUACUGCAUGCCUUUUAUGAACAAAUGAUUAUAUGCACCCAGGGAAUAUGCUCUGGGGGUGAAUCCUCUUGUUUCACAAAAGAAACACUUUAUAAAUUUGAUGAUUGCCCUGAAGUUCACUUGCUCUUUCCUUUUUAUUUAACUAAUUUUUUUUACACAUUUUAAAUCAUGAAAUAGGACACACAUUUCAGAAAAAGUAUGUAAAAACUUAAAUGUUCCAUAUAAUAGAUUCAUUAUAAAGCAAAACGGAUUCAUUUCUAUGCUGGAGGACCAGGACACAGGACUGCCUUGAUAAGGAGAAAGAAGGAAAACAAAGAAGUAGAAUCAGUAAGAGGCAGUGUUAGCGGCCUUCAGAAUCCCAAAGGCUUCUGGGAAAGUGAGGCUGGAGGAAGGCCCCAAACAAAACUGCCUGUGGAAGGGGAAGAGACCUGCUGUAGCGUUUGGGUGCCCUCCUAGGCACAGACUAGAAUCCCAGCCAAAUGAGCAGUCCAGCCUGUGGCUGUGUCCAGUGAGGCCAGCUCAGCUCAGUGCCCUUAGCAAGCCCAGCUCUGGCUAUGUAUUUCUGCAGAGGGCAGGAUACCCUUACUGAGAGGGCCUUUGUGUCUCUGUCAAUCUAAGUGACACAUUUGAGUCCUUUCUCCUGGUGCCCAAGUGCAUUUUUGUUUAUUUUUUUGAUACUGGGGAAUUAACACAGGGGCACUUAACCACUGAGCCACAUCCCCAGACCUUUUCUUAAAAUAUUUUAUUUAGAGACAGGGUCUCUCUGAGUUGCUUAGGGCCUUGCUAAGUGGCUGAGGCUGGCUUUGAACUCAUGAUCCUCCUGCCUCAGGCUCUAAUGCCACUGGGAUUACAUGCACCAUGGUCCCUGGCCCCCAAAUGCAUUUCUUUUUCUUUCUUUCUUUCUUUCUUUCUGUUUUUGGUGGUACUGGGGGAUUAAACCCAGGGCCUUAACACACUACACAAGUAGUCUACCAACUGAGCUGUAUCCCCAGCCCUGCUUAACCCCCAAAUGCAUUUCAUUCCUAAGGAAAUGUUUUUAACCUUUUAAGACACUUCAAAACUGAUGGUACAUUUUGCUGAAUGUGUAAAAAAUGGUGCCUUAGGCCGGGCUGUCCUCAGUAUGCAAAGAAGAAAUAUACAAAAACAGCUGGGUGCAGUGGCUCAUGCCUGUAAUCCUGGUGACUCUUGAGGCUGAGGCAGGAGGAUUGCAAGUUCAAGGACAAUCUGGGCCACUUAGUGAGUCUUUGUCUCAAAAUAAAUUACAAAAAAGGGUGAAGGAGGCUGGAAAGGUAGCUCAGUGCUAGAGAACCUGUGGAUUCAAUCCCCAAAGCAAAAGGACAGAGCUGUAGACUGAAAAUCAGCCUCUUCCCUAACCAGCCGGCAACAUAAAGCCAGGUGCACAUGCUGUCUGGGCCUGUUUCUCCAUCCAUAAAGAGCGUCAUCAGGUUCUAGAUUCUGAUUCUGCAAACAGUCCUGUUCUUAUAACCCAGAGUGGUAGGGCAGCUGUAUCACAUUUGCCAGAACUUAGCUUGAUAGCUAUACCUAGCCACCACGGCUACUGAGAAUUGUCUUUUUUUUUUUUUUUAGAGAGAGUGAGAGAGAUAGAGGUAGAGAGAGAAUUUUUUAAUAUUUAUUUUUUUAGUAUUUGGCGGACACAACAUCUUUGUUUGUAUGUGGUGCUGAGGAUCGAACCCGGGCCGCACGCACACCAGGCGAGCGCGCUACCACUUGAGCCACAUCCCCAGCCCGAGAAUUGUCUUUAUUCUAGGCAGACAUGUGGAAAUAGUCCAUUCACCUUGCUGAGACUCAGUUUCUCUUCUCACAAGAUAAGAUGUCUGAGGAAUCACCCAGUGGAAUGGACUAGACCUGGAAGCCCUAAUUUGGCAGUCUGAAUUCCAAGGCCCUCCCCCAAAUCCCCAUCCCUGCCUGGGGAUUGCUGUGGGUGUCAGAGGGCCAGAAGAUCACCUGGGCCACAGGCCAGGAAUAGGGUCCAGGUGUGGGAGAGAUCAUCUUAGGAACCAGCUGGCAGGGGCCCCUAGAGAAUGCUAUUGUUGAGAAUGGUUUUCUUCUGGAUCCUAGGAUCCAGAUGGGGGACAAAUGCCACAGAGUGGUGGGCAGAGAGAGGAAGGCGACAGCUGAAGAAGGCUGGGGAGUCCCUGCUGAUGAGUGGAGUCGGGAGACGUGCAAGCCCUGCCUCUCAGUGCCUGUGGCGCCUGAGGCUUAUCCCUGCACUGUUUGGGGCUCCCAUGACCUCAUCUGUAAAGUGAAAUUCUGGCCAAGGGAUCGCUGAGGUCACCUCCUAAUUCUAGCUUCAGUCACUCUGAGUGAAAGCAUAGGUUCUUCCUUUGUGCCUCCAUCGCUGGGCUGGGCUGGGCGCAGAAGGGAGAGGAUAGGGUCUCGUGGAGCUCUGUUCUCAUGUCCUCACUCUGCCCCUGCUGUUGCCACAGAAGCCAUUUUGACCCCAAGGAGAUUGGCUUCAGGUGAAAGUGGUAGGGGCAGGGCCAGGAUAGGGACAGUCACAACAUUUCCUCAAUGCCAUCUUCCUGGCUUCUGGAAACUGAGUGAGCUUUGGAUCUGGCAGUUUUGGGAUGAAUUUAUUCCAGUUGUGAGUAUUAGUAAUAAAUACUAAAGGGAUGUGAGAACUUGUGCCCAUGUGGUCUGAGUGAGCACACACAUGCUCCAUGGAUAGCUCCUGUGUGUAGGGGGGACUGUCAGAACUCAAUGCUUGGAAAAAUGCCAACUUUCCUCUUUGUUCACAAUUUCCUUUUGACCCUAGAGAAGAUUUUCUGAUGUAUUUAUGACUAAGAGCUGCCAGGACGUGGAACGUGAGAACCCAGGGGAGGCAGUGGAGCUGGCCUCUCUGCUCACUCCUGUUGGGUCAUUGGAAGGCAGCUGGCCAGAACGGAGGAAGAGGGCAAUUGCUUUCUUUCCCCUUUGUAACCCAUUUGGCUUUCAAAGGGACCUGUGUCCCACUACUCCCCUUUGUUAGAAACUGUAUGUAAGCUUGUGUGGAGGGGGAUGGAUGGAUCCUUGGGGGGCAUUGAGGACCAACAUGGCUGCCAGGCCAUGUUGGUCCCUGGAUCUCUGUGGAGGUCCAUCUCUACAGGGCCUCCCACACCCUCAGCUGCUGCCCCUGUUGCUGAAGUUCUGUUUAUUUUAUCUGUCGUAGGCCUCCGGGUCUCGGAUCUGAGGGUUCCUCAUGGGUGGAAUCACCCCUUAUUCUCACAUCAGUCCUGGAUGGCAGGAAAGGGAAGGCAGAGGGUUUUUUCCUGACAUGACCCACCACUCCCAGCAUUUGUCCCAGAGAGGACAUGUGAUUUUCCCCUAAAGACCCAGCAAAUUAGAGAGAGAGAGAGCUAAUCAACCAAGCAACUGGGCUUCUAGUAACAGAUACUAUUUGUUCUUUGCUUGGGAGGUGGGAGGGGCUGGAGAGUCUCUUUGUUGGGGGUUAGGUGGUCUCCAACAAAGGCGCUCUGGAAGCUGGACAUUCCUGGUUGUCCUGCCUUUGGUCACUUGCUGGGACACAGAAGUUCCAGCUCUGCUCCACCAACCUUGGUUUUGCCCAGGGAACUGAUGGCGAGAAGGAGGGCAGGAGAUGGCAGGACAAGGGAAACCAGAAAGGGAGCAAAGGGUUUGGGGACAGAGGGAGCUGGAGAAAGAGCAAAUGAAUAAUGUCCUGGAAAACAGCUCGUUUCCCCUUUCCAGCCUCCCUCCCUGCCCUGCCCACUGGAGACAGUCGUAAUUUGAUUACAUUCGCUUCCAGCCUAGCAGAGUAAACAAGGAUCUCCUGUGGAAGGAAGGCAGGAGGUGGCCCAGGCUUCUGGCACACUCUUCCCAGGGCCUUGACAGGGGUUUCGCCCUCCAGUGCUUGUCCUUUUCUCCCUGGGUGCCCAUGUUUGGAAGGCUUCAACUCCCAUUUUCUACCACUGUCCUGUGUCUCCUGUCACCCCCCGCAAUGUCCUCACCCUGAAGCCUGCCUACCAUGCAAUUUUUAAAACUAUCUAUGAUUUCCUGUUUAUUAUCAGUGUAAAUCCUGAGUUCACUCAUUUAGCAUCUGUCCCCCUAUAUCUAUCUCAGGAGAGGCCUGAAGGCAAGGCCAUGUGUCUACCCUUCUCUAGGAGCACAGCAUUGCUCAGGUCAAGGAUGUGGCUAAUUCUGGUUUUUAUUUAUUUAUUUUUGCCCAAUUUUUUUAUUGUGGUAAAGUAUGCAUAAAAUUUACCAUCUGGGGAUAUAGCUUAGUUGGAAGAGUGCUUGCCUCACAUGCACAAGGCCCUAGGUUCAACCCCCAGCACCAAAAAAAAAAAAAAAAAAAAAUUUACCAUCUUGAAAAUUCUUGGAAAUUGAAACCAAGGCCUGGCACAUAUUAGGCAAGUGCUGAUCACUGAGCUACACCCCAAGGCCCAUCUGAACUAUUUUUAAGUGUAGAGUUCCUCUGGCACUAAAUACCUUCACACUGUUGUGCAUCGGUCACCACCAUCCAUCAUCCAUCUCUAGAGCUCUUUUCUUCUUGCAAACUGAAACUGUGUACCUAUUAAACACAUAAGUCCCCAACCCCUGUGUCCCUGGCACCCAUAAACCACCAUUCUCUCUCUGUGAAUUUGAUUACCCCAGGUAACUUCAUGUAAGUGGACCCACACAGCAUCUCUUUGUGACUGACCGAUUUCACUUAACAUAAUGUCCUGGAGGGUCACCCAGGCUGUAACCUGGGCCAAAUUUUCCUCCUUUUGGGAAAGGGGAAAUACUUGGGAACCAUAUUUGCCAAAUUAUAUUGUUAUACUCUGUGCAUUUACAAAUUGCACCAUUAUGUACAACUUUUCUUAUGCACCAAUAAAAAAUAUGGAAAGUAAAAAAUGAAUAAUGUCCUGGAAAACAGCUCAUUUCCCCUUUCUAGCCUCCCUUUUAAAAAUUACUAAUAAUAUACCAUUGUAUGAAUUUAGCAUAUUUGCUUAUCCAUUUAUCUAUAGAUGGGCAUGUAGUUUGCUUCCACCUUUUAACUGUUUUGAAUAAUGCUACUAAAAACACAGGCAUACAAAUCGACUUUCUUUUUUUUUUUUUUAACACUAGGGAUUGAAACCAGGGUGUUUACCACUGAGCUAUGCCCUCAGUCCUUUUUAUUUCUUUAUUUAAUUUUUAGAUAGGGUUACACUAAGUUGCUGAGGCUGACUUGGAACUUGUGAUCCUCCUGUCUUAGCCUCCCAAGUCACUGGGGUUAUAGGUAUGUGCCACCAUGCCCGGCUUCAGCUUCAAUUUUCAAAAUAAAAGGCUACCACUAUAGUUUGCAUCUGAAAUGCCUCCAAAGGCCCAAGUUUCGGAGGCUUAGUUCCCAGGGAGGCGCUAUUGGGAAGCGGUGGAACCUAUGAGACGAGGCUUUGUGGCAGGUCUUCAGGUAUGGGGUGUGCUCUUCAGUGGAAUAUUGAGACACUGGCUGGCCCCUUCCUCUUUCUCUGUUUUUGCUCCUUGGACAUAAAACAAGCAGGUUUUGUUCUUGUUUUAUUUUAUUAUUAUUAUUAUCAUUAUUUUUUUGGUGUUGGGGAUUGAGCCCAGGGGCGCUUACCCAGUGAAUCACAUUCCCAGUCAUUUUUAUAUUUUAUUUUGAGAUAGGAUCUCACUGAGUUGAACUAAGCAGUUUUGUUCUGCUACUCCUGCCAUGAUGUGCUGCUUCACCACAGACCCAAAAGCAACAGGGCCAACUGCUUAUGGACUGAAAUGUCCCAAACUGUGAGCCAAAAUAUGCCCCCCACCUUUUUUUUGUAAUGGGGGUUGAACCCAGGGGCACUUAACCACUGACGCACAUUCCCAGACCUUUUUAUGUUUUAUAUAGAGACAGGAUCUUGCUAAGUUGCAUAGGGCCUUGCUAAGUUGCUGAGGCUUUGAACUUAUGAUCCUCUUGCCUCAGUCUCCCAAGCCACUGGGAUUACAGGUGAGCACCACUGCACCUAGCCAACCCUUUCUUUUUAUAAAUUUAUUAUCUCAGGUAUUUGUUAUAGUAAUGGAAAGCUGACUGAUCUAGCUACAUUUUAUUGAUUGUUUACUACAUGCUCAGAACUGUGUAGACUUAAUCACUUAAUUUUUACAAGUACCUAUCAGGUAGCAACUAUUCUCUCCAACUAUUUUGUGGAUGAAGAAAUUGAGGGGCUGGGGAUGUGGCUCAAGUGGUAAUGUGCCCGCCUGGCAUGUGUGAGGCACUGGGUUCAAUCCUCAACACCACAUAAAAAUAAAAUAAAGAUAUUGUUUCCACCUAAAACUAAAAAUUAAAUACUAAAAAAAGAAAGAAAUUGAGGCUCUGGGAAGCAGGUGAUUUGUCCAAGGCAAGGAAGGAGGACAGGGAAAAUGAGAACCUGCUCAUUCUCUUUAACCUCAGCCUUUUACUGCAUUAUGUUCAUGAAGUACAUGACACUAGGGUCUCAGAGUAUGGUGCCCAUCUUGCACCCCUAGAAAGGUCAAGCUCUUCCUCUGGCCCUCUGCCCAGUGAGGGAAUCCAUCCAUCACUGAUAGGUUAUUUCAUUAGGCAAAGGUCCUGUCUGCACAUUUAAUUGAUGCCCCAAACUUUUUCCCGGAGUUAAGUCAAACAGUUAAACUUCCAGGGGCUGGAGCCCAGGCAUCAACAUUUGUAAAAGCUCCCCAGGAGAUUCUAUGUGUGACCAGGAUUGAGAACCACUGGGUUAGAAGAUGGAAGCAGAGGUAGAAGGAUGGAUGCCCCUUUCAGCCUCUUUGUCUUUCCUUGUGAUCCCAUUCCUCCUCCCUUCCAAGGAUGGCGUUUGGCCACUGAAUGUCUUCAAUUCAAAGACUCUGAAUCCCUGGGAUGCCUCCUUCUCCCUCUUUCUCCACAGGUUCUGAGUGUGUGUGUGUGUGUGUGUGUGUGUGUAUGUCCCAUGGAUAGGACACAAGGUUCUACAGGUCCCUGGAUGGAUCUAUUUAAACCAGCCAGACCCAGAAUGAAAAUAAGUUGCUGACAGCCCUCAGGCUGCAGAUUUCCCUCACCUCCCCAUUGGGGCAAGGGUGUGAGGUGGAGGGCAGAGGUUCCUGCGUCAUCAGAGGGUGGGGAGAGGAGGGAGGGGAAAGUACUUGGGCUUCUCGGGGUGGAUCCAGAAAAAUUGUGUGCCAUGCCUGUCCCAGCUUUUGCCUGUAGCUAUAGUAUAUCUCCUUGUGGUGCCCUGCCCCAAACCACAGCUGUCCCAGUCUCCAUGAAAUCCUGUUAAAGCCAGGGUGGCAUUGAGGCAAGGAGAAUAUCCAGGUUGGAAAUGCUCUAAGACAUUCUGUCUCCAGAGAACAUCUUGAAUGGGGGCACUUUGGGAUGAAUGGCUCUGGGAGCCUAUCCUGGGGAUCUUCCUCCCAGCCCCUGGAAGUUUAAAGAACUCUAGGAUCCUUAUGGGAUUAGCAGGCUGCCAGGCAAGUGCCCACAGGGGUGUGGAGGAUGGAUGUGGGCAGGAGGUCUGCCUUGGUUAGUGGAGUUUCUGGGUCCGGCCAUUACCUUGCUGCAUGACCUUGAGCAAGGCACUUCUUUCUGGGCCUGAGCAUCUCUAUCAUUAUAAAGGGUUUGGCCCAAAUCACUAGUUCUCAAAUUCAGCUGCACAUUGGAAUUGUCUGGGGAGAAUUAAAAAGUACCAUUGAGUGAAUUUCAUCCUCAAGAGACACUGAUUUAAUUGGUGUAAGUUGUGGGCUGAGUGUCAAGAUUUUCAGAAGAUCCCUAAGUGAUUAUAAUUUCUAGCUAAAUUUAAGCACUGCUGUUCUGGGUAACAGCUUCCAAACCAGUCACAUGGUAGCAUCAGUAGAAUGUGAAGUUUGAGCCAUGCCCUGUCAGCAGAGAGGACUACAGAGAGGCCUCCAGCUGCCCAUCUACCUAGCUGCCCUGAGGACCGCAGGGGUCAGGGUUUCAGGACCAGAAAGACAGCUCUUGGAUCCAGUGAAGUUUGUUGCCUCAUUUGCCCUCCAAUAGAGGUCUACAAUGACACAUGUACUAAAGUUGAGUAGUUUAAAGUUACAGUUAAGCAUGAGACAUAUUCUUAUGGCAUCAGUAUCCCUAGAAUAUUUUAAGAGAAAAAUUAUGAUUCACUUUGUAAGUAAAAAUGAUGUGUGUGUGUGUGUGUGUGCGCGUGCUGGGAAUUGAACCCAGGAAUGUUCUACCUCUGAGCUACAUCCUCAGUCCCUUUUUAAAAACUUGAAAAGUUUCCCUGCCUGGCCUUGAAUUUGUGACCCUCAUGCCUCAGCCUCCUGAGUCAUUGGGAUUACAAGCAUGUGCUGUCAUGCAUGGCAGAAUUAUUAUUUAAAAAAUACAAUAAUAAUCAGCUCAGUGGCACAUACCUGUAAUCCCAGCAACUCAGGAGGUGAGGCAGGAGGAUCACAGGUUGGAGCCCAGCCUCAGCAAUUUAGUGAGACCCUGUCUCAAGAUAAAAAAAUAGGAAGGCUGCUGGGUAUGGUACCCCCUCACUCCCAUACCCCCCCAAAGAAAAGAAAAAAAGAAAAAGACUGGAGAUGUAGCUCAGUGGUAGAGUGCCCCUGAGUUCAAUCUCCAGUACCACAUACAAAAAAAUAAAAUAAAAUAAGGCAGGCAUGCUGGCACACACCUGCAAUCCCAGCAGCUUGGGAGGCUGAGGCAGGAGGAUCACAAGUUCAAAGCCAGCCUCAGCAAUAGUGAGGCACUAAGCAACUCAGUGAGACCCUGUCGCUAAAUAGAAUACAAAAUAGGGUUGUGAAUGUGGCUCAGUGGUUGUGUGCCCCUGAGUUCAAUCUCUGGCAUACCCUCCCCCCCAAAAAAUAAAUAUAUAUGCCUAUAUCCUGGAGUAGAAUACACAUAUUUGAAGCUAAAAGAUCAGAUGUGAAAUUUGAACACCAUUUCAAGAGGCAUGAGCCUGAAGUUGGGGUGGAAAGUAGUACUCCCCUGACUUGGGUAUAAGUCUGAGGAAAAUGCUGGCGAGGUUCUGAGUCAGUCAGUGCACACUGAUCAGUGGGGAGAAGAUGCGUUGACUCCAUUAGUACUGGUAUGCUUCCUGGAGGAAGAGUCUUCUAGGCAGGAUCUUGAGGAAUGGGAGAUAGGAGGGUCUGGCCAGGGUCUCCGUAGACCCCACUAAGGAAUGUGAUCCCAGACAUUCUUUCUUGCCUUGGGCUUGUGAAUUCAAGAAAGUCCCCAAAGAUCCUGCCAUCCUCCAGCGCACACACACGUCCAGCUCCACACCUUGAGGCUGACCUGGCUGUGAGUCUUUCCGCCUGGGGCAGCUGAGUACAGGAUUGUAACACCAAACUGCUCAGUCUAACCCCAACUUUAUCGACCUGCAGCUGAGUCACUGUUGCAGAGGUAGCCACCCGCCACCCAGGUAGGGGAGUGGCCCCAUUGCCCCAGAUUCCUACCAUUUUCUCUUACCCACUUACUCUGUUCCCCAGGCCAGAGGUAGGCCCCUGAGUUGCUGGGCUAGGAGCAGGCUGGGGGUGGGACAACAUGUCUCCCAUGUCCUGCAUAAGGUCCUCCGGGCAGCUUGUGUCUAUCCCCUCCUGACUCCAGGACACCAAGGGACGUGACCUUUAAGAGUUUCGGCACAGCCCAAAGAGACCAGGGAGGGCACUGAGUGGGUAUGCUGAGGAUUCAAGCCUUGUGUCCUCCGUUCAAUAGCCCAGCUCUCAGAGAGGGGGUCAUGAACUCUAGAGCCCACUUGCUCCUCAGCAGAGUGGCUGUUCUUUCUCUUUGGUGACUGGGCUGAUCAUGCCCUGGGACACUUGAGCUUCAACUCCACACAUGAGAAACGAUCCUUGUUCCUGACCUUCAUCCUACCCCAAGGAGGUGUGGCACAGGCUGGUUACAGCAUGAACUGUUUGGAGAUUCACUGUUUAGUCUUCAAAGAGCCUAGAACACGCCUGGCACAGAGCAAUGGCUUAGGAAGCAUAGUGGGCCCUCCGCAUUCCUGGGUUCUGCUGUGUCUUUGGGUUCUGCGUCAGCACAUUCAACGAGGAGUGAACAGACUAAUAAAUAAAUAGAAAUAGCGUCUGUACUGAACAUGGACUUUUUAUUUCUUGUCAUUAUGCCCUAAACAGUAUAACAAUAUUUCCAUACCAUUUACAUUGUAGUAUUUAUUUCCAUACCAUUUAUAUUGUAAAUAACCUAGAGAUGAUUUAUGUAUGCAGGAAAAUGAGCAUGGGUUAUAUGUAAAUACUAUGUGUUUAACAUAAAGGACUUCGGCAUCCAAGGAGUUUGGUUUCUUCAAGGGUCCUAGAACCCAUCCUCUGGUUUUGAUAAGCAGAUUUAUUGAUUAAACAAAAGGAACUAGUGGACCUGGUUUUCGGUCCCCAUGGUAUAUACUAUGGGGCCUUUGUCUGCUUUACUUUUUCCUUCUGUAAAAUGGGUUUGGCAAUAGAAUCUCCUUCAUAGAAUAUUUUUAUUUUUAUUUAUACAUAACAGAAAAAUGUGUUUUGGCAUAUUAUACAUAUAUGGAGCAUAACUUCCCAUUCUUGUGGUUGUACAUGAUGUGAAGUUUACACUGGUUGUGUGUUCAUAUAUGAACACAGGAAAGUUCUGUCCGAUUCAUUCUACUGUCUUUCCUAGUCCCAUCUCCCUCCCUUCCCUUCAUUUCCCUUUGUAUAAUCCAAUGAACUUCUUUCCUUCCCUCCCACCCCUCUUAUUGUAUGUUAGCAUCUGCAUAUCAGAGAAAAGAUUCAGCCUUUGGUUUUUUGGAAUUGGCUUUUUCACUUAGCAUGAUAGUCUCCAGUCCCAUCCAUUUACUAGCAAAUGCCAUAAUUUCAUUCUUCUUUAUGGCUGAGUAAUAUUCCAUUGUGUAGCUAUACCACAUUUUCUUUAUCCAUUCAUAUGUUGAAGGGUACUUAGGUUGGUUCCGUAGCUUAACUAUUGUGAAUUGAGCUGCUAUAAACCUUGAUGUGGCUGUGUCACUAUAGUAUGCUGAUUUUAAGUCCUUUGGUUAGAUACCGAGGAAUGGAAUAACUGGGUCAAAUGGUGAUUUCAUUCCAAAUUUUCUGAGGAAUCUCCAUACUGCUUUCCACAGUGGCUGCGUCCCACCAGCAAUAGGAUUUCAUAUGUUAAGCUUUGGAAGGUUCAUGGAUAUAUUAGGUGCUCAGUAAGUCUUGGCUCUCUCUUGCUCUUCUCUGAGCCCCUGCUGGGGUCCCAGCUGAGAGAAGUAAGGGCUGGCCAGAGCAAACAUCACACACACCCUUGGGGCUUAGGGCAGGAUACAGGCCCAGCCACUCGGGUCCUCUUCUUUUCACUCCCCUAGCAUGCCUGUGCAUGGAAUGUGGUUCAAACACAUGUAGAUGGUGGGUAUGAGGAGGCCAGGUCCCAGGCAGCCAGCACAUUGCAAAGGGCUGGAGAGGCCUGCGGACUGCAAAAUUGACUAACAAGGCCCAGCUUCCCCUUUGAUCCUUCUCCCUACCAGCCUAGUCUAUCUAAACCAGAAAGAAGACAGUGCUGCUCCCUUGCUUACUGAUCCUCAAGGUUCAUCUUGCCUCUGCCAGUGCAGCCCAGGAUCCUGCAAGGGCCUCUGUAGCGUGGCUCCUGACCUUCGCUCUUCUUCUCUCUUGGCCUUGCCUGUGGCUAUUGCUUUUCGGUUGUACGUGCAAGUCACCGCCAUAUGACCUUCAGUUUCCCGACUGGCUACUGUCUGGAAAGUUCCUCUUGCCCUCAAGGCUUAGCUCAGACGUUCCCUCCUUGAAGAUGUCCAUAGGGCCCACAUAUCCUCUUUCUACCCAGCUCACUGGUCAGGAUCUUUGUUGGUCUUAUAAGUCCAGGUGCUAUUUUCUCCACUAGGUGGGUAAUUUUUGGGGGGCUUGUAUCAUGUGGGGCCUGGAGCUUAGCAGAACUCAGUGAAAACUCAUGGAAAGAAGAGUGAAUGAAUGAAUGAAUUUCCUGGAGAGAGUAUUCACGGGUAUAAAUCAAAGCUGAGGGUUGUUGCACCCUGAGAGGAUGUUGGACUCAUCUUCUUGGGGCCAGGAUGUCUAUGCAUACACACUUGAAAGUAAGGGCAGUGGGGAGGGGACAGGUCACUCUGGGCUGGGGUUGGAGGUCUUGGAGCUGGAAAACCCACUCUUAUUCCCUGCUUGCCACCCAUCGAGCCUCUUUGGAGCCUUUGACUGUUGGGCAGGGACUUGGGUCAGAAUAACGUUUGUCUUUCUACAGGAUCUCUGGUGCUUCCUGCUUUUAACCUCUGGCCUCAGUCGCUGCUCCAAGCUGGACCCACUGAAGGACCUCAGAAUUAGAUGCCUGCCCUCAGGGCUCUCAGCUCAGAAGAGAGACUCAAAAAUUGGUGGAGGUCCUGGAAGGUGAUCUUGUCCAGACCCCGACCUGCAAGCAGGCCUGGGCUGGGAAUGGCCUGCCCUUUCCUCAAAAAAAUUUCUGUAGAGGGGACUUCUUGAGCCCUUUUUCCUACUUCUCAACCUUAGUCUCUGGCUGGGCAGGACUCUUCCAUCUCAUUUGUGCAGUGGCCAGGCCAGCCUCUGGGUGACAUAUGCUGUAUUUUGUAGACAUAUGAGGCAAUGUAAGUAGCUGGGGGCAUGUUCUCUGGAUUCAUACUGGGUACAAAUCCCAGCUCCGUUGCUUGUUAGCUAUGUGAUGUUGGGGACUCCUUAAUCACUCUGUGCCUUAGUUUCCUCAUCUGUACAACAGGAAUAAUAAAAACUCACUUGGGUUUUUGUGAAGAACAAAUGAGCUAAUACAUGAAAGGCAUUUAGUGGGGGGAGUGCCUGGUGAGGGGUCAGAUACUUGGUAAGUGUGAGCUUUUGAUACUUUCCUGCUGUGCUCCUGAUCUGGCUCAGGUUCCACCCUUUAGCUUGUCUCUCCGCCUUCACACACUUGCCUCCCUAAAAGGACUCCAUCUGGUAAACGUGUGCUAGGGGUCCUCUGCUCUCAAGAGGUUCACAGUCAGUGGAGUGCAAGGGUGCACGCCUGAAAUCCCAGCGGUUCUGGAGGCAGAGACAGGACUGUCACAAGUUCAUAGCCAGCCUCAGCAAUUUAGGGAGACCCUAUGCAACUUAAUAAGACCCUGUCUCAAAAUAAAAAAUAAAAAUAAAAAGGGCUGGGGAAUGUGGCUCAGUGGUUAAGAGCCCUUGGAUUCAAUCCCUGAUACCAAAAAAAAAAAACAAAAAACAAAAAACAAAAACCCCAAAACAAAACAAAACUUCACAAUCCCCACUGGAGCAGGCAUGGAACAAACCUAAGAAAACUACUUAGUCUAGAAGCUGCUGCCACUCUUGCUUUCUAGGGAUAUGGCACUGUUCAUCCUGGGGAAAUGAUUCUUCUGUGAGGAAAUCACAGAAAUCACCUCGAAGACCAUUGACUGACUACUCCUCCACACAAUCAUAAUGGUAUAAGGAGUUAAUAUUAAUUGGGCUCUUCCUCUGAGUGCUUUGUAUCUAGUAACCCAUUUAAUCUUUGUGCAAUCCUCUGAGAUUCCUACUUAUUUAUUUAUUCGCCAUGCUGGAGAUGGAAUCUAAGGCCUCAUACAUGCUAGGUGAACAUUCUACCACUCACCUACAUACCCAGCCUGAGUUUCCCUAUUUCAGAUGAGACACAAAGAGGAUGUAUAACGUGCAGAGUUUUCUCAGCUGGUGAGAGAGGGGCUGGCAGUCACCCAGGAACCUGUUGGGGCCCAGGCCCUUCACCUCCUCCCAUUCUGCCUGUGCACACAGGAGGAGGCUGAGCCCAGAGGGGAAAGCCCUCAGCACAUUGGAGGCAGAGCCAGGGCUAGAAUCAGGUCCCCUUCCCGCCCUCUUUCUGGAACACUGCUUCAGUUUGCCUGAGGGAUGGGGAAGGGAAGGAGGUGGUGGCAGGGAUGUGGUUUCACUGGGGUGAACAGAAAAGCUGUGAAUGGUUCUGGGUGGUGGUGCGGGCAGCAUAGGGCCUUCGGGUCCAUGUGUGGAACAUCUGGUAGUGCAGGGUGAUCUGGGGGUACCUUAAGAGCUAGUGGGUCUCUCCAGACAUUUUUUUUGGACAGUUUUAUGAGAUAAAAUUCACAUUCCACACAAUCCACCCACUUAAAGUGUUCAAUUUGAUGGUUCUAGGAUAUUCGCAGGGCUGUGUGACUAUCCCCACUACUGGUUCUUGAGACUUCUCCUCCCGGCCCUCGUUUGGCAGCAUCCAUAUCCUCGGCUCGCAAACCCCCACAGGUCUCCCUGGGAUCAGAAACAGCCUCCCCUGACCCCGCGCUGACUCGGCUGUUGUGCAAUCCGCUUCUUCUUCCAUGACGAAACCUCUUGAAUGAGCGCUUCACACCCACCGCCUUCAUUUGCUCAGAUUCAAUAAACAUUUUCAAAAAGC